ensembl:lncRNA
CUGGGCUGCCCGAAGCAGAGCAGCACAACACACCUUGAAAGAUGGCAAGCUGGGGCCUGGCUAGCAUUCCUGCCCCUUCCCUUCUUCACCAGGAACUCUACACAGGGCAGCCUUUGCCUCAGUUUUCACUGUGUUGAUUUUUUUUUUUCCCUCACGUUCAACUUCAGAAGGCUCUUUUCACUCCAAUGCAUGGAGUUUUGGGUCCCGGUGACAAGCAAUGGGGACAGCCCAGCCUGGAUGAGCAGGAAGGCUGGAGGGCAUCCAUGCUGUUGGGCUGUCAUUUUGGGAAUUAGGUGUUUGGAAGCUGCACUUCACCUCCCCGAAAGGUCAGGGAAGUUUGGUGGAAGACAGCCAUGUGGCAAACGGUGCUUUAGUACCACUGCUCUCCCGGGGGAUGCUUCCUGAGGGCUAGCAGCCUGCUUCACUGCUUCUCGGGGGAGCCAAGAAAAGGAAUCAAGCUGCAGUUGUCAGUCUGCUUCUCCCUCUCUGCUCCAACAGCACCAUAGGAGUCCCCUCACAACGGUUUGUGCACGGAACCUCCUUCAGAGCUUCCCGGCAUCCCUUUUCAAGCGACUCACAGAGCCUGCAAAAGAGCCUCCCUUAGGCCUUUGGUCUUGUUUCACCAUCGUGGCACAAGCGUGACCCCAAAUGGAGGUCAUUAUUGCUAAUUACCGGAUCACUUAGCACGAACACAGGAGGUAUAACCGCACCGACGUUCGCACGGAGAUCUGGAGGCUGUGCUGACAGCACCCACCCAGCACAGCCCGGCAGUGACAGCCGCCAGCCUGCAGGCCCACCAGCAGGCCGAGCCGGGAAUUCCCUCAGCUCCGGCCACCCUGCUGCUGAAACAACGCCGUCUGCACGUUGUUAAUGUUGUUAAUCAGACCGGGACUGCGCCGGAGGAGUGGGCUGCAACGCCUGGGUGUGUGAAGGGGGGACAGACGGCUUCACAGCCACAGCUCUGUUACAAGCACUGGGAAAACUGUGCGAGCUUUCAUUCUCCAGCUGCAAAACCUGAACACUUGAGAGCUCUGCAAGGAGAAAUACACGCAAUUCUGACCGCAGCAGCGCCUGUGCCCCCUUAUCCCUGAUGGCUCGGGCUGUGUGAGGAAGAGCGGCCUCACCCCAGCCCCGCGUUGGCGCGAGCAGUCGUGGUGAGCGCAUCCCUCCCUGCUCUCCUGCACAGCUCCGGGUGCCCGAGGCACGCAGUGCUUGUGUCGGGCUCUGCAGAGGAGCGCAGCCAGUGGGAGCUCGUGCCUAUCGGGCUGCCGGGAGUAGCCGCACGGAGCGACGGAGACAACUUCAGGGGUGUACUUCUAACAGCUCUCCUGCAGCUAUCAGCACAUGCCGGUGGACUUGUUAUAGCACGCUGAACGGCACGUUCUUGCUGGCUCACUGGGGCCUGAUCCAAAGCUUACUGCAGGCAACAAGGAAGAUUCGUGGACUUCUUCAGUGGCCUUUGGACUGCCCUGCGGACACAGAAGCACAAUGGCUGGGAUCUGCACAGCGGAAUAUUCAGCUCAGGAGCUAGGAGUUUCUGAUAAAUCACCGCAGGGAUUUACCCCAGGGUCUCUUCUACAGUGUUUCAAGUAAAGAGGAUGCUGGGAUGGAGUAUUUAGCUAACAGCGUAAUCAUGCAGUGAUGAACUGCAGAGUUCACAGCCAAAGAACUGAUCUGCAAGCAAUGCUGGAGGCCUCCCGGCAGACAGCAUGUCACGUCCACUGCCACGUGCUGUAUCCUUGAAAGCAGACUGUCACGAGGGGAGUUGGAGAGAACAAGUGCUGCUCCUGAAAAACUACGGCAAAACAGGCAUCGACCUUAACUUCUUUCCAACAUCACUUCAUUCUGCUCUUAGAAUAACGUUGGAAACAAAGCUGUAACUCGGUCAUUGGCCGUGGAAUUCAUCCCAGAAGAAAUGCAAAGACCACCAACAAUGUGGACCAGGGUGGCUCCAUGUAUGUCCUGUGCAGUGGGACAUAGCCUGGAAGAGCAGAUGCGUGCAGAUAGCAACGCUGGGCUUCUCAACACUGGAAAUGGUUUGUCACAAAAGAAGAGGAGAAAGGUCUAGUUCAGCUUGAAAAGAUACAGCUUUGUAUGAAAUGCCAUAUGCUGCCUGACGAAGCUUUCCUUUAAGGUUGUACCUUAUGCAUUCGCGUAAGCCUGUGAAAAGGAGCAAAAACAAAUGCUUGGAUCUGAUUUCUGUCUUCCUCUGGAUCUUUGGAUCAGUUCUAACUCCCACCCAGCCUCAUUCAUUGAUUCUGAUGGUGGUAUCCGGAGCACCUGCUGUGGGCAAAACUGUUCUUACAUCAUCUUACAAACACAGUGACCUCAAACAUGAAAUCAUGAGGUUAAUACCAUACCCAAGGCUUCCAAUAAGGCCCUUUCCAGGGGUCUGGGCUGAGUUUUUGAAAACGCCAUGGUAAUUUCUAGCUCUUGAUCAACACAAGAAUUACCAAAGGUAGAAAGCGUUCUGCCAUACAAGAACACAAGAGAAUGGUCCAGCAGAGCAGCAGUCUGAAUGGGGGAGGUCAGAACCACAGUUUAAAUUACUUUCACCUUAGUUUUGAUUUUUGCCCUGUAUAAAAUGAUAGAGAAUAUAUUUGUUCUGCAUUAGCUACUUGGAAUAACGUGCUUUUGGAGGCACAGCUUUUGCCAUACCUGAUGUAUUUCACCUGGUAGCGUUUGCUGCAUCAACACCUUUUUUUUUGGUACAAAGUAUGAAAAAUUGAGAGUCGAAUCAGAAUGGGGAAAGCCUGAAGAUAGUCCAAGCAUGGACGAACAACCAAAUUCCCAUUCCUCCGCUUUCAAUCCAAAUGUAUAACACCGUGGCAGUGGUAGGAUGGGUAAUGAAAACUGAAUACUCAGAAAUGGAAGUUAUCCAGGAAGAAAGCAGAAUUUCAGGAACUUAAUACACUUUAAUUUGGCACUGAGUAUUUCUGCCUCGCUGAACAAGAAGAGUAUCUCAAAAUCAUCACAUUUAGGAUGAUAUAGAAAUAGGGAUUACACACACCCAUCAGUCCGAACCUCAACAGCACAUAAUGUUUUAAAACAAAUUUUAACUGAAAGUGUAAUGAAAGACAAUGGAAAACAUGGCAGGAGUUUCCCAAAGGUGGAUUACAGCCGCCCCUUGUAACGGGGCUGGUGGGGAGAAAAGGGGGUGCUGAAUGACCACAAUGACCAUUGAGUUUCAACCCCCCUGCUAUGUGCAGGGUUGCCAACCACCAGACCAGGCUGCCCAGAGCCACAUCCAGCCUGGCCUUGAAUGCCUCCAGGGACUGAGAUGCGGCAUCCACGACCUCCUUGGGCAACCUGUUCCAGCAAUACUCAUCUCUGUUUCUGUUAGUGCCCUUUGAAAAAAAAAAACACUAAAGCAUGAUAAUGAUGUUUGGUAAUGAUUAAGCCACAUCAUCAAAAGAAGACUGGAAAAAGGGGACAGAGUGAUAAGAAUAGAAGAAAACACAGCGAUACGAAGUGCAAGGUCACACACUUACAUGCAUACUGAAGUGGGGAUUCCUACUCCCCCAAGGGAGGACAAAGACAGAGAGGAGUCUCAUCUUAUUAGCUUAUGAUUACAGAUGACCAAUUUGAUGUGACCUUGAUAACUCGAUCUCAGGAUAUACCAGACGUGGCAUUUCCAGCAAGAUAGGAUAGUAUAUAUUCCCCCAUAUGAGACACAUGGAGUCACAAAGGACGCUAUUCUGGUCACCUACCUUCAAGGAAAAAGAGCUAGAAAAGGAAAACCAGGAUGAUAAUACAAAUUGUGAGCUUGCCUUUUAUGAUGAAAGACUUUCAGUUUGGCUUGUAUGACUUAGCAAUAUAAAUGUCAAGAUGAGAUGAGAGCGGGCCCUAUAAAUACAUUGGGAAAACAAAUAUCAGAGAGGAGUUAUUUUUAGCCGGAAAAUAUUUUGGCAAAAGAACAGAUAGGUAUAAACUAGCAAUAAACAAUUGUAGUCUAUAAAUUAGAAGGUCUGCAACCAUCAGAGAGAGGCUUUUAAGAGGAGGAAGAAGAGACUGGCAGGUAUCUAAGUGACUUUGAUGUGGUUACCUGCAGUAGAAUUGGUUCCCCUAACCAGAAAGACCCUUCUCAUCCUGUAUUUCUAAGGUCUAGUGCAGUGGAAUUCCUAAAAGUUAAUUAUACAAGUAUCAACAGCAGUUGGCACUUUAUUACUGAUAUUUAUUAGUAGGUGGAGUGACUGGUUGUUGUUCGGGUACGCUGUGACUGGAUAAAGCCACAGGGACAGCUGUAUCUCUUCUUCAGAAGACUCCAAAAGAGCAGCACGUCUGACCAGGCUUGGUUUUCAGAGAAAGGUUUGCCUGAUCCCUGUUCAUUUGCAUUGCAUCACUAUAAUUAAUCCAGUCUAACCUGUUCCAGUUCGUGGCACUCCUGCGAUGGCGAGAUCAGAAUCGGCUCCAACAUCUCUGAAGGGCUACGCCAUUUGUUCACACCGCAGUUCAACAGCUUUAAACAUCUCGUGGCAAAGCUGCGGUACAACUGCUCUAAAGCUUCACGAGCACGCUGAGGCCCACCUCCUUCCUUCCUGCAAAGGUCGGGCAGCUGGAAGGCAGUGACACCAGGUGAAGCUGAGCAUGCUCAUCACUUGGGAAACCCAGGCCCCUGGUGAUCUUCUCUGACGUUAAUUGACUGUCAGACCCUGCAAGAGGGGAGGCAACACCUUUCCUGAUCUGUGGUCUGGAGUAGUGUUUUCCAGACUCUGGAGUGAAUUUCACGUUGUUGCAAAGGAAACGAUGAUGCAGUCCUCCAGCAGCUGCUGUGCUCCAGCAUCCUUGCAAAGGUACACUAUGUACUUUGUGGGUGUAUGUGUGUAUGCAAGCUGCAUAUUCAAAAUCCCUAUUUUUCAUAAGAACAGGCGGGCCUCCAGGUCUCCCCUCCAGACCUACCUUCCUAUCCCCAACAGAAACGCUGCUAAGGGUUGCCCCCAGCAAAACUGAAGCUAUCAUCCUGAAAGAGAGCGCUUGAAAAAGCAAGCUUUUAUGUGAGACUGCUGGGGGUGUGAUCUCAUUUUCCUACGUGCCAGAUCUAUGAGUCCUGUACCUCAAGUGUGGAAAGGUUCCUCAUUAGUGCAAGUGAAACGGCAAGAGCAAUGUUCUGAAUGAAUAUAUGGUGAUGAGUCUGGAAGAUCGGGCAACUGUUGUCUUUGAAUAGGCAAAUCUAAUUGAUGAACCCAUGAGUCUGCUGAUGGAAUUAACCUGGUUUAAUUAAUUACUCCCUCUUGGUGAAGCUGCAAAAACUGACUGUAGUGUGCUUUAGUCUUUUAGUUUUUAAAAUCAAUCACGUUAAGGAAAAGCGAACAAGUUUGGUUCGGAGAAUGGAAGGGCUGUUAUGUGGUCAGUGUAUAUGGCUCUGCAGGUGCCCGGUGAGCUGUUGAGCUCCAGAAAGUAAAUCCUGCACGCUGGCCCGUCUGUGCUGGGGGUGUACUUAGCAGCGAUGGCUCCGUGCCUUCAUGCCCAAGCUCUUAGUUCAGCAGAAACAAACCACCAUGCCUAACAUAGAUGGGAUGAAGAUUUGCUUCAGGAAGGGUAUGGGAGCUGUUGGGUCACAGCCUGAACCACUGAUUGAGCAGCUGGGGAAAGGACCCGGUCAGGCCUGGGAGCACAGGUGAAGGCAAUUCAGCUGCAUGAGCACUCUUAGACCUCAUUUAAGAGCUGACUGCCACAGGGGAAAAAUCUCUGGUUGGAGAAUCCUUCCCUGUGGAGGCUUUUCUGUAAGCCUAGAUCCGUGGAGAUGGGUGAGUACCUUUACUUUUCCUUUGAAAUAUCAUCCUAUCUACUUUAGUCCUUUUGCUGUUACUCUCUUGUGUUGCCCUUCCACCACGUUAAUCUUUUACGCUGUAAUAGGAGGUCAGUGAAGCAUUCAGAUGGCAUGUUUGGGGAUGUCCCAGAAGAUCCCAACCUCCUGAAAUCACUAAGUAUUCUUUAUUCACACCAGGGGUUGAACAGUGAAAAAGAACUGGGAUGAUGCCAUAGUGCUCUCCAAGAGGAGAUGGUGAGUGGGGCAAGCACUGCAUGUUGCUCUUGCAGCCAAGCGGUGAGCCAACGGUGGAAGGUCUGCUCUUGUUGCUAAUAAAGCUGUAUCGCUUCUGCCUCAAAGUCUGCUCUGCUCUUUCCUGCGCAGCUCUCCCCUUGCCCUGCAACCAUCCCCAGGCCUCGGUGCAGCCAAGAUCCCUCGCUCUCGGGAACACGGAGAGCUCUCCUCCCCCCAGAGCCCGUCG